UACGUAGGGUGCAAGCGUUGUCCGGAAUUAUUGGGCGUAAAGAGCUCGUAGGCGGUUUGUCGCGUCUGCUGUGAAAACCCGAGGCUCAACCUCGGGCCUGCAGUGGGUACGGGCAGACUAGAGUGCGGUAGGGGGAGAUUGGAAUUCCUGGUGUAGCGGUGGAAUGCGCAGAUAUCAGGAGGAACACCGGUGGCGAAGGCGGGUCUCUGGGCAAUAACUGACGCUGAGGAGCGAAAGCGUGGGGAGCGAACAGG
rnacentral:rRNA from 1 species